rnacentral:rRNA from 1 species
UACGUAGGGUGCAAGCGUUGUCCGGAAUUAUUGGGCGUAAAGAGCUCGUAGGCGGUCUGUCGCGUCUGCUGUGAAAACUCAGGGCUUAACCCUGAGCUUGCAGUGGGUACGGGCAGACUAGAGUGCGGUAGGGGAGACUGGAAUUCCUGGUGUAGCGGUGAAAUGCGCAGAUAUCAGGAGGAACACCGGUGGCGAAGGCGGCUCACUGGCUCAUAUCUGACGCUCAGGCGCGACAGCGUGGGGAUCAAACAGG